ensembl:lncRNA LINC-PINT long intergenic non-protein coding RNA, p53 induced transcript
UUUUUUUUUUUCUUUUUCUUUUUUUUUUUUUUUUUUGACAGGGUCUCACCUCACUCCCAUCGCCCAGGCUGGAGUGCAGUGGUGUGAUCACAGCUCACUCCAGCCUCGACUUCCCAGGCUCAGGUGAUCCUCUCACCACAGCCUCCCAAGUGGGUGGGACUACAGGUGUGCACCACCAUGCCCAGCUAGUUUUUUGUAUUUUUAGUAUUUACCUCCAUUCUACAGCUGUUAAAACAGAGGCAUCAGAAGGAAGAACAGCUUUCCUUGGUCAGUGAGGAUGGGAAGAAGCUCUAGUGUUUCCUCUCCUCCAUUCCUUCUGGGUAUAAUGGCCACCCAUUGCAGUGGGCUUUGAUUUUUUUCCAAGAAUGGAGCUUGGAACCCCAUAGAAAUUGUGUUUUGUUAAUAAGCUGACGGAAGGAUUUUUGGCAUCGAUUUUAAAUUCCCAUAGUCUGCUUCUAGCGAAGCUCCACACCUCUCAUUUACUCUCUCUCUCCUCUUCAGGGGCCAAAGAACAAAGUGUAGUCAACUGUUUUGAAGCCACCCUGUUUUGAAGAGGCGUUUUCCACUCAGGUGGCCUUGCACCGAAUGGCCAACCCUGCCCACUGUACGGAAACAAUAGAUGCUGCCUUAGAAGGGAGCAAGCUGGCACUGCCCUGGUAUGUGGGUGCGGCCAGGAAGCUUUGGGCCAAACUGUGCAGACUUGCUGUCUCAGGAUUAGCACUUUCUACAGCCAGAGUGGAGACGAAGGGCAGGAGGCACACAGCCCUUCCUCCUGGAGAUGAAAGGGGUCUGUAGGUGGAUGAGGACCUUGUUCACCAAAAGUCACAGGAGGAAGUCAAAGAGGAGGAGGAUAGAAACAUAGUGGUGCUUCUAUCACCUAUAAAUUCUGCAUUCAUGAAAAAAAAAGUCCACAAAAUUAUGGCCCUGAACCAAUCUGUAUCAACCCUGAACAUGCUGGAUGCCACCCACUGUGGGUUGGGCAGAAGAUGGUGCAGGCCUGACAGAAGUUGGUAACCAAUACUGUGCCAGAGGCUUGGUGUGGCAGGAGGUGACAGGACAAAGGUACCAGAGGAUGCCAGCUGGGUGUCAGCCUUCUUAGCUGUCAGAACUGGUCUUGGAAAAAAGGACAGCCGUUGGGUAUGCUUUUGUAAGAGGCAUUUUUGCUCUUGCAGAUAGCUGCCUCUCUCUUCCUUCCUGUGACUGAACAGGCCAGAGAGGAAGGUCAAAGGCAGGCAAGAGAACAAGGACAAAGGCACAAAGUGUGGAUUGUACAUGGACUCCUGUUCUAAUCCAGCUCACUUACCAGCUUUCUAUGUCAAAAAACAAAAAAUUAGAAACUUGGAUGGGAAAGAGGCUGGCACAAAUGUAAAUUAUGAACUGAGUUCCAAAGGAAAAGAGGCAACAGAUAAGAGAUUCUUGUGGGUACCUUACCUGCGAAUUACUUUGAAAUGGCCUUGGAAGGGUCCUGAUGGGCAUGGAAAAAAAAAACCCACUAGCCCCAUUUUCCCAAUAUAGAAGCGAAGGUCAAUAGCAGUACCUCGAAAUGUCUGGGAAGUGAAAGUGACAGAGAAAAAGAGGACUUGUGGACAUAUGUGUUGGCCUUUUUUAUCUGAAGGUGCUAUGGCUGGUGAAGAUGGGCUGCGUUCUGGGUCCCUGGGAGAGCUGAUCCUGAGCUCAUGUCUCUGUCCCAGCAGCAGGAGCCCCUCAGUGCUAUAGAAUGUGAGGUCUGCUGUGAGUCCAAAAGACCAGACAUGUGACACAUUCCUCUGCUUUCUGGAGCAUAGUAUCAGCCCUUAGAAGCAGCUGUUCACCUCUCCUUUAGUAGCUCAGCAAGAAUUCAGUUCAGUAAAAAUUUAUUUAGCACCUACCCUGCUCCAGGUACUCUCUAGGCACUGAGAGGGGUUUUCCUGUACUGUGCCCAGAACUCUGCUCCUCAGGCCUUUCUCAGCUCAGGAUACUGGCUUAAGCAGCUAAACUGAUCGCAAGUGCCACCCUUCCAUGCUGCUAAAAACCCAUGCUGUUCUCCUAGACAAAGUUAAUGUCUGGCUCAACAUACCACACCUUCUCUCUUAAGUCCUUAAGUUCUGAGAAAGGGAUCCCAGGAGGUAUGCAGGACUCUUGAUGUUGAAUGAGAGGCAAGACCCUCCACUCCUGUUGCUCGACCCUCUCCCAGGUCCCCUAGAGGAAAGGCUCAUCCUGUGGCUUCUCCCUCCUAAACCAAUCCCUGUGCAUCCCUUUCUUUGUUUGUGCCACGUCCACACACUAAUCUCUCUGCCUUGUGUUGGCAGAUGCUGGUGGGAUGGAGCUGCAGUUUGUGUCUCUGAAGCAGAUUAAACACUGUCUGCCCCAGCCUGUCUUAACUAUCUUCUCACUGGUUAACAGUCCUUGGAAGAAUAAACAAUCCACACAAGCUCUCAGAAAGCAGAAGUUCCAUGAUUCGUGACCAGAGUCUCAUAGCACAGAAUUCAUCUCUAAAAACAGAGACAGAGUCUUGCUCUGGCACCCAGAUUGGAGUACAGCGGUGCAACCACGACUCACUGCAGCCUUGACCUCCCAGCCUCAGAUGAUCCUCCCACCUCAGUCUCCCAAGUAGUCAGGACUACAGGUGUGCACCACCACACCUGGAUAAUUAUUUUUUAAAACUUUUGUAGAGAUGGAGUCUUACUAUGUUGCCCAGGCUGGUCUCAACUCCUGGGCUCAAGCAAUCACCCUGCCUUGGCCUCCCAAAGUGCUGGGAUUACAGGCAUAAGCCACCAUGCCUGCCCCCUCCUUUUUUUUUUUGUAUUUUUAAUUUAUGUAUCAUAGUUGUACAUAUUUUUGGGGUAUGUGUGAUAUUUUGAUAUAUGUAUACAAUGUGUAAUGAUCAAAUCAGGUUAAUUGGGAUAUGUGUCAUCUUAAAUACUUACCUUUUUGUGUUGGGAACAUUACAGUUCUUCUAGCUAUUUUGAAACAUACAAUAAAUUAUUGUUAACUAUGA